rnacentral:rRNA from 1 species
CCUACGGGAGGCAGCAGUGAGGAAUAUUGGUCAAUGGCCGCAGGGCUGAACCAGCCAAGUCGCGUGAGGGAUGACGGUCCUAUGGAUUGUAAACCUCUUUUGUCAGGGAGCAAAGGGCGCCACGUGUGGCGCUUUGCGAGUACCUGAAGAAAAAGCAUCGGCUAACUCCGUGCCAGCAGCCGCGGUAAUACGGAGGAUGCGAGCGUUAUCCGGAUUUAUUGGGUUUAAAGGGUGCGCAGGCGGAAUGUAAAGUCAGCGGUAAAAUUUCGGGGCUCAACCCCGUCGUGCCGUUGAAACUGGCGUUCUUGAGUGAGCGAGAAGUAUGCGGAAUGCGUGGUGUAGCGGUGAAAUGCAUAGAUAUCACGAAGAACUCCGAUUGCGAAGGCAGCAUACCGGCGCUCAACUGACGCUCAUGCACGAAAGCGUGGGUAUCGAACAGGAUUAGAUACCCUGGUAGUC